rnacentral:rRNA from 1 species
UACGUAGGUGGCGAGCGUUGUUCGGAUUUAUUGGGCGUAAAGGGUCCGUAGGUGGUUUGUUAAGUCUGACGUGAAAUCCCAUGGCUCAACCAUGGAACUGCGUUGGAAACUGAUGAACUGGAGUGUUGUAGAGGUAAGCGGAAUACCAGGUGUAGCGGUGGAAUGCGUAGAUAUCUGGUAGAACACCGAAAGCGAAGGCAGCUUACUGGGCAACAACUGACACUGAGGGACGAAAGCGUGGGGAGCAAACAGG